rnacentral:rRNA from 1 species
AUACGUAGGGGGCGAGUGUUGUCCGGAAUGAUUGGGCGUAAAGGGCGCGUAGGCGGCCCGGUAAGUCUGGAGUGAAAGUCCUGUUUUUAAGAUGGGAAUUGCUUUGGAUACUGUCGGGCUUGAGUGCAGGAGAGGUAAGUGGAAUUCCCAGUGUAGCGGUGAAAUGCGUAGAGAUUGGGAGGAACACCAGUGGCGAAGGCGAAUUACUGGACUGUAACUGACGCUGAGGAGCGAAAGUGUGGGGAGCAAACAGGAUUAGAUACCCUGGUAGUCCACACUGUAAACGAUGAAUGCUAGGUGUAGGGGGUAUCGACCCCUUCUGUGCCGCAGUUAACACAAUAAGUAUUCCGCCUGGGGAGUACGGCCGCAAGGUUGAAACUCAAAGGAAUUGACGGGG